GCGUGCGGGAAGAAGGCCUUCGGGUUGUAAACCGCUUUUGUCAGGGAAGAAAUAUUCCGGGCUAAUACCCCGGGAGGAUGACGGUACCUGAAGAAUAAGCACCGGCUAACUACGUGCCAGCAGCCGCGGUAAUACGUAGGGUGCGAGCGUUAAUCGGAAUUACUGGGCGUAAAGCGUGCGCAGGUGGUUAUGUAAGACAGAUGUGAAAUCCCCGGGCUCAACCUGGGAAUUGCAUUUGUGACUGCAUGGCUAGAGUGUGGCAGAGGGGGAUGGAAUUCCGCGUGUAGCAGUGAAAUGCGU
rnacentral:rRNA from 1 species